AUGCAGUUCUGGUCCUUGGAGGGGGCGGACGAGGCGUUCGGCGACUUCGGCCGCAUCGACCGCCUUGACAGCCGGACCCUGGAGCGAGGCCACACCAAGACCUUCGCCUGCUGGCUCUGGACAUGGAACGUCGCGCACAUCCCCACCACGCGGGCGCUCUGGGUGCUCAAGAGGGGAGCGGGCCGCGUCGACGAGAUCAUCGGCUACUCCCCUCCUGAUCGUCGCAUCCCUCCUCCGCCGGGCGUCCGCCGCUACGACAUGCUCAUCCACGUGGAUCGGAUGGAGGACUGGACCCCGCUCUCGCCGCGCUCCUCGCACUCGGGACAGAGCGGG
rnacentral:rRNA from 1 species